rnacentral:rRNA from 1 species
UUCGACUGUUUUACCAAAAACAUAGCCAAUAGAAAAAAUUAUUAAUGGUGAUGCCUGCUCAAUGAUUGAACAAAUAACCACUAAAAACAAUUAAAUAGCUGCGGUAACACCUGACCGUGCAAAGGUAGCAUAAUAAAUCGCCUACUAAUUAUAGGAUAGAAUGAAGGUAAAACGAAGAUCUUACUGUCUCAAGACCAUAAAUUUAAAAUAGAAUGUGUGUGAAAAUCCACACUAAAACGGCAAGACGAUAAGACCCUAAGAACUUUACCUAAGAUUUAUACACACACACUUUAAACCCUAAGUUUCGUUGGGGCAACGAUCUUUAAAAAAGUAACUAAGAUUAACUAAUCAACAAAAAAAUUAAAAAACAUGAAAAUAUAAAAAGAUAAGACCCAUUAAAAAAAUAAACGUUAAUGAUAACAUAAUAAAAGUUCCUUAGGGAUAACAGCGUCAUAUCGUUUCAAGAGAACCAUCCAAACGAUGUUUGCGACCUCGAUGUUGGAAUUACRA